ensembl:lncRNA
CUACAUUUGAUUUGAUUGGUUUCUUUAUUUCCACUCUAUAUGUGCAGCUAUGCAGUAUUAACCACUGCAAAUACAGUUGCAAAAAGACACAAAGGAGUAUCUGUAAGAGAAGAGUCAUUCAAUUUACAUUAUAUUCAGAGAACAAUAGAAAUAAAAUUAAAAUGUUAUAAUAACUUGAGGUUCAUCACGUCAAACACUGAAGGGUUUAUCCUCAGGAAACAAUAUUGUUGCCAGCAGGAGGCUAAACUAAACAUAUUAGUAGGACCAUUCAGUGCAUUAGAUUAUGACAUUCCACUUUCUCAUGGACACUUAGGCCUUGGCUACACUGGCGCUUUACAGCUCUCUCCCAGCGCUGGUGCUGCCACCACACUCGCACUUCAAAAGCACUGCCGCGGGAGCGCUGUACGGCUGCAAGUGUAGCCAAACCCACAAAAAAAAAAAAAAAGUUGGAAUACAUGAUGUAUAAUGGAAAGGGCNCACCACACUUGCACUUCAAAAGCACUGCCGCGGGAGCGCUGUACGGCUGCAAGUGUAGCCAAACCCACAAAAAAAAAAAAAAAGUUGGAAUACAUGAUGUAUAAUGGAAAGGGCUAGUGCUAACUUCUUAGCAAUGUACUUCUAAGGUUUAUGACAGAGGUCGGCAACCUUUGGCAUGUGGCUCGCCAAGGUAAGCACCCUGGUAGGCCGCGCCGGUUUGUUUACCUGCCGCAUCUGCAGGUUCAGCCGAUCGCGGCUCCCACUGGCCAUGGUUCGCCGUCCCAGGCCAAUGGGGUCUAUGGGAAGCGGCACAGGCCGAGGGAUGUGCUGACUGCCGCUUCCCGCCGCCCCAUUGGCCUGGAGUGGUGCUUACCCUGUCGAGCCGCGUGCCAAAGGUUGCCGACCUUUGGUUUAUGAUAUAUGAGCAUUGGUGACUGGCCUGAUUUUAUUUUUGAAGGGGUAAAGGGAAAGUGUUAUGCAGUAUCCCUAUUUACUUAUAAUAAGAGAUACUUGUUGAGAUUAAACCAAGCUACGUGGCAACAACAUAGACAUUACCAGUUCACAGUUCUGUAUUUAGUGCACUAAAUAUAUCAACAAUUAUCCCUUCCAAAUUACUAUGUCCCCUGUGAAUAUCUAAUGUGUAUAAAAGAUGUUCUAAUCUCUUGGAUACAGUAUAACAAAUUCAAAAUACCUUCAGUAAACUUCAGGGAUAAACUGAGAUAACUCCAUGAAUAUUGCUUUUAAAUGGGAUGGGACCUCACCUCUGGGAUGGGCAUACAUACUUGUUCUCAAGAUUUCGGUAAAUCAUUUAGUAAAAUAUAAAAUACAUUUUAAAGUACAUCAACUUUUGUACUGAAGCUGCACAAAAUUAAUGGAUAGAUUUCCGGACAACCAUUACAUCAAGUGUAGACAUAAAACGGGACUUUGCCUAGGGAUGCUCUCCUCCCCAACAUUACAUGUGAAUGCAAAUCUUGUACUGUGCAAAGCACGUGGUAGGCAAUUAGGUGCCAAUUCAGCAAACAGAUAGGCACAUAUUUAAUUUUAUGCUUGCAAUUAGUCCUAUGCACUUCAAAGGAAAUGUUCAUGCACGUAAAGUAAUGGUUUAAAGGAUCAAGCCUUUAAACAGUAAAUAACUUAUGGAAGGUGGAGAAAGCCAAACGGAGAGUACUUGCACUUUGACCAUUAUAAAAGAAUGCCUUGGUAGGAGAUAGGAGUGAUAGGGAGAAAUUAAUUGUACAAUAGACUCUUCACACUUGGCUCAUUUUUGUUAAAUGAUGAAGAUGACUAGGGCAGGCCCAAAGCUCUUCCAUAACAAUAUAAAAUCUCAGCUAUGAAGACAACAGAAGAGGACAUAUUUCUCUAGAUACCUUAUGCAAGGGACAUUUUCAUAAAGUUAUCAGAACAAGGAUCCAAUGAAGGGGACAAACAGGCAGCUAUUAUAGUCCCCGUGUCUAACCUUUCUAGCCAGCGAGCACUGCCACAACUCUUAUCAGACAGACAAUUGCUAGUCUCAUUCUGUCCUCUAGGAAAUGUAUAUUGUGUAACUGUUGCUCUAAACUCAGAGCACUAAAAUAAAGAGGAAAGGAGCUUUGAUGAGGAAAGGGAA